CCGGCGCUCGAUUCAACUUCUCUCCUUCCUCAUCGUCUCUUGCGUCAUCCUCGACGAUGGCUUCAGUCUCCCAGAGAUGAAAUGCCUCUCUGACCAGUGCGGCGACGUCUUGAUCCAGUACCCUUUCAGUCUGGUAGGGAGCAACAACAACAGCUAUUACUGUGGAUAUAAACAACUCCGUUUGAGCUGCAGUGGUGAAACAACGAUGUUCAAUACCUCGACGGACAGUUACAUCGUAAAGGCCAUCAAUUACACCACCCAAACACUGUCUCUUAUCGACGCUGAUGUGUUGGGUCAAAAUUGUCCCAGAGUGAACAAUCCCUUGAACAUAAGCUCAUCAGAAAAUAUUCUGGAUACCACUUCUUCCGAUGUGCAGUUGGAAUUCUUCUUCAACUGCACACGACAGGAGGAAUUAACGCCCUACGCAGUUGUUUGCCUCUCUACCGGAGAGACGUCGUCAUACGUCUUACCUGUUAACAAUGUCACGAGCAUCAAACCGUCGGAUUUGAACUGUGAAGGAAAUGUGAAGUCGACGGUGCUGAGGGAGGAGUGGAAUGGUAUCAACGGGGACAUAACUAAAUUUGGUAGUGUGUUACAGGAGGGAUUCGAGCUGAAGUGGAAGAAGACGGACUCAAAAAAUUGCAAUGACUGCGAGAUUAGCAAUGGAAGCUGU
rnacentral:lncRNA from 1 species